AAUGAAGGUUCUGAUCUUUCUAGCUGUAUUUAUUGCCACCGUAGCAUGUGAGUCAUGUGUUCAAGACGGCGAUUGUAAAUCUUUAUCCUGUGUGGUUUUUGCAACGACAAAAUGUAUCAAUAAUAUAUGUACUUGUACUCGAAAAUGUGAAACUAUAACUGAGAAAUGUCAUAGCAAAGAACACUGUGAACAUGAGUAUCAAAAAGAUGAUUGUCAGUGUAGCACCGGACUGCAUUGUAUCGAUGGAUACUGUCAUUGUGGGUUCCCAGCUGCUUCUACACUACCUCCAGUAGUCACCACAGUACCAACAACUCAAGCACCAUCUCAACCACCAACAACACAGGCACCUACCCAAACUCAACCACCAACAACACAAGCACCUACUCAACCACCAACAACUCCAACACCAACACCGACACAAGCACCAUCUCAAACACCAACACCAACUCAAUAGCCAUCUACACAGUAACCUACUCAAGCACCAACAACACAAUUGCCAACAUAAUAAAACUUUCUUUUAUUAGC